AAAAAAACAGGCUAUUUCAAGAUCCGAUGUAUUGUCACAUCACUCGACAAGAGUAGAAAAAUUACAUAUAGAACGCCAGUUGAUUGGUACAAGGAAGAUAAAGGGGCUGGAAAAAGAAAAAGGAUUUUUGGAAUUAAAAAUUUGAAAAUGAUUUCAUCUUUUUAUUAAAUAAGAAAAAUAUUUAUAUUAAGUCAAUAAAAUUAUUUAUAAUAAUAUAAUUAUAAAUA
rnacentral:misc_RNA from 1 species